GACGAACGCUGGCGGCGUGCUUAACACAUGCAAGUCGAACGGAAAGGCCCUGCUUUUGUGGGGUUCUCGUUUGGCGAACGGGUGAGUAACACGUGAGUAACCUGCCCCUGACUUUGGGAUAACUUCACGAAACUGGGGCUAAUACCGGAUAGGAGCUCCUGCUGCAUGGUGGGGGUUGGAAAGUUUCGGCGGUUGGGGAUGGACUCGCGGCUUAUCAGCUUGUUGGUGGGGUAGUGGCUUACCAAGGCUUUGACGGGUAGCCGGCCUGAGAGGGUGACCGGCCACAUUGGGACUGAGAUACGGACCAGACUCCUACGGGAGGCAGCAGUGGGGAAUAUUGCGCAAUGGGCGGAAGCCUGAUGCAGCAGCGCCGCGUGCGGGAUGACGGCCUUCGGGUUGUAAACCGCUUUCGCCUGUGACGAAGCGUGAGUGACGGUAAUGGGUAAAGAAGCACCGGCUAACUACGUG
rnacentral:rRNA from 1 species